rnacentral:tRNA from 1 species
GCGGAUAUGGUGGAACUGGUAGACACGCAAGCUUGAGGGGCUUGUGGGGGUUUCCUCGUGAGGGUUCGAGUCCCUCUAUCCGCA